rnacentral:rRNA from 1 species
CGUGCCUAAUACAUGCAAGUCGAACGAACUCUGGUAUUGAUUGGUGCUUGCAUCAUGAUUUACAUUUGAGUGAGUGGCGAACUGGUGAGUAACACGUGGGAAACCUGCCCAGAAGCGGGGGAUAACACCUGGAAACAGAUGCUAAUACCGCAUAACAACUUGGACCGCAUGGUCGAGCUUGAAAGAUGGCUUCGGCUAUCACUUUUGGAUGGUCCCGCGGCGUAUUAGCUAGAUGGUGGGGUAAUGGCUCACCAUGGCAAUGAUACGUAGCCGACCUGAGAGGGUAAUCGGCCACAUUGGGACUGAGACACGGCCCAAACUCCUACGGGAGGCAGCAGUAGGGAAUCUUCCACAAUGGACGAAAGUCUGAUGGAGCAACGCCGCGUGAGUGAAGAAGGGUUUCGGCUCGUAAAACUCUGUUGUAAAGAAGACAUUCUGAGAGUAACUGUUCAGGUAUUGACGGUAUUUAACCAGAAAGCC